AAUAUUACACUUAAAAAAAAAAAAAAGACAGAACUGCUCCCCUCAUUCUUGCUCUUGCAGCCCAGUCACCUCAGUGUAUUCCAGAGCCAGACUGUUCUGCACAGGGAUGAUGGCAGGAGCUGGAAUGGCAACAUCCCACCCUCCUUAGACAUCCUGUCGAUGCCUCACAUCCUCUCUGUUCCAACUCCAAGAGAUGCUUCCUAAAGGUUCCCCGUCCCCCUGACUUACUGCAUCUCAGAGAAAACUCUCGGGGGUUCAGUCCCAGCUAACAGCACUGUCUUUACCACACAACAGCAGAAGCCACAGACAUCGUGCUCAGAACUGGGGCAUUCACAGUUCUUGGCACAAGGUGAAUGAGAUAAUGAACAACUUGGGUGGAGCUAUUCUGAUUUCUGGGCUCAGUUUUCCUAUUUAUUGUUGCAAUCUGUUCAUAUUUGAUCAGUGUUGCAAAUUGUUAAGUCGGAGACGCUAUUUACAGCCAUGUUCUAUUGAUAACACUUCUCGGAAGAGCAAGCGCACAUGGGGAUGAUUUUCACAGGGAGCCCGCUGUAUGUGAAACGGGAGAAGGGCACAGGUGAGUCUUCCAUGCUGCCAAUCUACAAUGCACUAAGGUGUAGCAGCUUGUCAUGGGAAGCGAAGCUAACAGUUGGGAAAGUGCUCUGUGGGUGACAGGCCUCGUGAGUGUCAUGGUGCUAUGCCCAAGAGCUUCAUGCCACCCCUCUGGUCUCAUUCUGUUGUUCACGGUGCCACUGACAGGGUUAGGGGGCCUUCAAUAGCCAAGCAGCCUUAAACAGACCUGGAAAUCCAAAGCAACUGAUUUGGGGGCCCUCCCACUCCCACACAGGAGCAGGGGUGGCCCUGUUUGUGAUUCCACACCUUCUGCACAGGGGUAGUGUGCUGCUUACUAUCUGUAACUUGCAGCAAUUUCUAGCUCAUUAUCUCCAGUUUGUUCACCCUUGUUCCGGGCAGACAGGGGUGCUGCGAAACAGAGCAGUUCCAUUACCACUGUGGAUACAGACCACACAUACCCACAUGUGUGUGUAUAGAUCAUGUGUACACAUGUGUCUGCACAUAUACACUAAUGCCCAGCACACACCAGCCUUGCUAAGAGUAGCAAGCUGGGGAAGUACUCAACUGGACAUUUGUCCAUCCAAGAAUGGCAGGGCAUGGCAAGCCAGCAGGCAGGCUGUUCCGGACAGUCAUGGCCAGGACACUGAGGGCUCAACAUAUGGUGGGCCCUGGUACCGUGUUCUGUGCUUAUAGUACCUCAUUUUAUAUCACAAUGACCUUGCAUGUCUGUAUUAUCAUCUGUCUACAGGGGAGGAAGCUCCCCUGAAGCUCAAAGCGGUCACUGGGGUGGAUGCCAAAGGGCCAAAGGGAUCUGGACAAGGAGACAAAUUGGAAACUGGGCCAGAGAGGAGAGGAGACCAGGGUGACCAAGAGGAAAGGUGUAAGACCAGAUACCACAGGCGUGCAGGGAAAACUCUCCUGCAAUAAGACAAAGGAUAUUGCACCUUGCACUUGCUGACCUAAGGAAGUAAAGCCUGCAAGAUGGGCAUGCCAAACUCCCACACUUGGGCUCAAAUAAUCAAUAUCACAGGAACAGGAUCAGCCCGAUAAUCUGUACACAAGAACCAGCUUGGAAUUCAAUGGAGAAGGCACCAAGUCUGAAAUCUGUGUGGACUGUAUUGCCAUCAGGACAACAUGAAAUCUUCUAAACCAUGAAUAUGGUAUACCUUUCUCCUGAGUUAGGGCUUCAGUUUCCUCAAAUGAUAUUUUGCAAUGAUUGGUAUAUGAGUUAAUACCUGCUUGGGUUAAGUUUAUUCCUAAUAAUUUUAUGACUUGAGUAUUAAGAAAAGCAUUGUUUCUUGAACUUCAGUUUCUGGCUGUUCUUUGCAAAUGUCCAGAGAUAGAACUGAUUUUUGUAUAUAUAUCUCACACCCAGCAAUUCUGCAGAACUUCUUGGUCCUGGUGAUGUUUUCAUAGACCAUCCAAGAUCAUUUCAUCCACAAACAAAAUGUCAUCUUGCUUCUUCCUUUCCAAACUGGGUGCAUGGGGCUGGAGAGAUGGCUCAGUGGUUAAGAGCACUGACUGCUCUUCCAGAGGUCCUGAGUUCAAUUCCCAGCAACCACAUGGUGGUCCUCUUCUGGUGUAAAAGUGUACACACAGAUAGAGCACUCAUAUACAUACAAUAAACAAACUGGAUGCCAUGAAUUCUAUCUCCUGGCCCAAUGACCAUGACUAGAACUUUCUAUAUGAGGCUGAAUGGAAAUGACAAGAGAAGACAUCUGUCUUCCUUCUGACCUCAGGAGGAAGGCUUUCAGUCUCGCCCCAGGUGUGAUACAGCUGUGGACGUUCCUUAGACAUGCUUUUAUCCCACGUUAGGUUAUGGUUUCCUUUCAUUCGCUAUUUUCUAUUACAGAGAUUCUCCCUAUAGCUGCCAAGGAGAGCCUGCUGGGAUAAAAGGCUGAGUCUGUCAUCGCCUUUUCCUUAGACCUUAGGAUUCUGCCCAAGCUCAGAUCCCCCCUCCUCACUUCCCUGAGCCUGCUUUUCACCACCAUUGCUUCACUCUUUACCUCCAGCAACAAAGCCAACUCGGGACUUUCUGUUUUCUAAGGUACUCUGUACUUGACUUUCUUCUGCCCCUUCUGCCUGGAAAGCGAGCCCUGGGACCAUCCAUUUGCUGAUAUGAACUUUCUUCCUCUAUGGGACAAACAUUUUGUGCAAUGGGCCACACUGCAUCUCCUGUUACGUUUGCAGGCCUAUCUUUUCCCCACAGACAGCCAGUGUCCUAAAAAGUGUCUCUGCAUUAGUGACAUUUGCUCCAGGCAUUUAACACAAGGCUUAAGCAUGCCAUUAUGAGUGCAUGAAUGAAUGAAUGAAUCCUCAGAGACAUCCUUCACUACUGGCCAAGCAACUUUUUUAAAAAUAAAAACUUGAUUUUAAUACUCAAUUACGAUAGGUCCUGGGGGAGCAAUCUGUACCCUUUUUUGUAAUUUUGUAAAAUACAGGGUUCUUCACAACCUUCCCCUACCUGUCUCUCCCUUCCUACAAUCUGUGGCACACUCUAGAAACCACACACAACUCUCCCAGCUCAACAGAGUUCUUGCAAGGCUCGCAGGGUGCUCAUGUCAGACCCUCUGUCCCUGCCACCAUCUGUCUGGAAGCCCUGCCUCAUCCACUCACACUUGAUCUUUGGGUCCUCAAUCAAUUUACAGAGCUGACUCCUGUGCUUGGUGUCUCAGAAGCAUCUUGAGUCCCAAAUCUAAGACUGAAGUCAUGGUCACCUCCAUCCUGCUACUGCUAUCAAGAUCCCAUCCCUUUGCCAAGUGUCAAGGCCUGGUAAAAACUCCACUGUCCAUCCAAACACCCAGGGGACGGACAGGGACACACACACACACACACACACACACACACACACACACACAAAACAAACAAACAAAAAACCAUGUGCCAUCUUCUGCUGUUCAAAAGCACUUCUGAAGGCCUCCCACUCCUUGGCACCAUGCCGCCCCUUUCUUCCCAGCCUCCACUGUGUACCUUGCUCUGGCACAGCGGCUGCUCAAUGGCCCUCUGCCUCCACAUGGCACCUGGAGUGGACCCUCCAGCCUGCUCCAUUAGCCCCUCCUCAUUUUCAGUCCUCAAGCUCCCCCACCCCCCAGCCCCUCACUGUUCUGCUGACAGAUCCCCCACCUCCGGUGGCCUUGCAUGUGGCUCUCCUGGCCCACCCCCGAGCACUCUACCUCUCUUCCUCCCCUUGCUAGAGCAUCAGUCUGCUCUCAGCUUGUACUUCACCUCCUCAGGAAAACCCGAGCGGAUGCCGUUGACUAAGCCAGUCCACAGCCACUCAGGACCACACCCCUCCUCUUCAUGGCUUUCCUAUAAGUUUGAAGUAACACAUCAUUUGAAUGGGACUGUCAUGGCUACAAAGCAGAACCCUAUGGGAGAAGGAGCCACAGUCCACCUGGGCACAGUAUACGGCUGACAUGGAAGGCAGCAAGUGAGUGUACCUUAUCUAUUCUCCUAUCUACCUCUCAGAGAAACAGCUCUGGCAUGUGUUGCAGGUGUCCCAGGGUGGUCCGGCAACUCCUACCAGAGCCCUCCAUCCAUUUGCCUCGUUCAUAGAGUGGCAAGUCCAGAAGAGACACACCUUCCUCAGAGCAAGGAGUUGUCAGUACAGGCCCGGUGAGGCUGUAGCAAACAAAGCCUUGGACCACCAAGGAAGCUGCAGAGAGGGAGCCGGGAAAGAACUCCUACUCCCACCACUGUAUGAGAUCAAAUGAAGGCCAUGCUCGUGACUCCUGUGCUAUGGGGAGAACCCCUGUCUCUGGUAGAAAGAGAAGACCCAUGUGGCAACCUAUAGGAGACCACAGAUGUCCAUAAGGACUACUUCCAGACCCGGGCAUCUGAGAAACUGCUUCGGUCAAUUAAAAGGAGAGUUUCAUUUGUAUUGAUACAGAACCCUUCAAUGAAGACAGAUAAAGUUCUUUGGUCUAUUGACAUGUGGCUCCCCUCCUUUGGCUGUCAAUCAAUGCCCAAAAGAGCAGGGGAGAAAAAUCGAUUGUAUAAUUGUGGGAUUGAUUUGGCAAUGCCUGAUGGGAAAGGGUUUGUAUUCAAACAACACAGAUGAGCCUCUCAGGCUGGGAGUGUAGCUCUGUGGAAGAGUGCCGCCUAGCACAGGUUCAAUACCCAACACUAACAAAAAAGAAAAGCGGGAAAGAUCCCUUCAGAGACACUGGCAAACCUCCUGAGUUUACCACGUUUGAGGACAUGCAUCCUUUAGAUGGCCAAAGUGCUCAGCACUUUCCCCAUGGAAUGCAUGGAGAGGGCUACAGAUAGGGGGGACCCGUGAGCCUGGCCUCAGAGCACACAGCUGUGUGAUGAAGGACAACUUUCUUCACCUCUUCAGAGACUCAGUUCACUCUCUUUCUCAUUAGCAAGGGCAAAAGUCAAUGAAGAUGGGACAGUGGCGGGGCCUGACCUGCAGGAAGCCCUCGAUGUGUGUUGUACGGUUGUACACACCCUGGGCUUUUAUCCUAUGACUUCUCUGACCUUGGUGACAAAUACAUUGAGCCAGCAGGACUGGCUGGGGCACCGGGAGACUCAAACACUGUCUCUAACUCAAACACUCAGCUGUAUGCACCCCACGCCUGCUUCUGCGUACCAAAAUGGUGAGGACGCCUCACAUAGGCUCCAUAGCUGUCACAGGCUCCAGUGGCCUCUGGAAAGGGUCACAACAUGCUGCACGACACUUCUAUUGUCACUGCAGGCAAAACAUUAACGAAUUACUUUUCAUUCGUUUUCCUUCUAUCACGCAAGUAAGAAGCCACACGAUUCCUUAUAGAAAUCUGGCAACAGUUAUAUCUGCAGUGGAGAUGAGUUCAGCUUUGCCGUGAAAGGGGAGAGCUAAGAGGCCGACAUCAGCUCCCUACCCAUGCUCCCUGGUCAGCAGC